rnacentral:lncRNA from 1 species
CACAACUAAAGCAAUGGACUAAGGGAGGAGUAAUUUGUAAAUUUACUCAUUGUUUGUACGGAGUACUAAGGUGGUACAUAAUAGAGGAAGAAAUAGUAAACCCGAUAUUUUUGCCGCAGACUGAAAAUAAAGUGAAUCAAAUCUAUUACCAGAAAAAUCUCUAAUCGGACCCAAUAUAUUGAAAUCCCAUAAAAUAGGAUGCCACGUUGACUCCUAGUCAUUCCACCACAAACGAAUACAAGGCCCAACCUAAUAAUAUCCAUAAACACUAGUGGUUAUUCUUGCGCCAGAUACGCCGAGAGCCAAGUCAAUCUAUUCUAACUUCAGAUGGAAAUGAGCAAAUCCAUCCCACGCGCUGAAGAAGGACGCCACAAACUGAGGCAGUAUGUCACACUGAACUUUCAGCGCGUGAUAAACUACUUCUCUCCUUAUUAGGGUUAAGGCACAUUUUUCAAGGCCAGUUUUACACGUCAGGGAAAUUUCACGUGAAAACGGCUGCCAAGUGUCUAGAAUGAGCGAAUCAGAAUCUCGGAGGAUUAAUCCACGUGGAAGACAUGUCACCGCUCAAGAGAAAAUAUCUUCUAGUACGAACCAAAGGAAAAUGAGCAUGAGCCGCAGUCCACACAACCUGUUGUUCCCUCACGAGCCUACACUUGGCACCCUUACAAACCAUUAGUUCAGC